rnacentral:lncRNA from 1 species
UUAGUAAAGCAGAAGUUUGAUUCCGGAUGAAAGCAGAUAAGAUAAUCCAUCAGUUAUGUUUCUGUGUGCUGGGGAUCACUGCAAGACAUUCCAGAUCCCUUAACUGGCCAGCAGUUUCACAGCAGCAGUGAAGUCUGACAGAUAAGAGUAAUGCUGAUCAACCACCAGCCCCAGGGAGCACUUUCACCUGUUCACGGAGUUCAAAGAUACAGCUGAUAGAGUCAGUAUCGUGGCUUGCAUACAUUAGAAAAGAAAUCAGAUACAGGUUUAAAGGAUACAAAGGAACAUCAAAACUGCUCUGCUUCCUUACGAUCUUCCUCGAUGUAAAAAGAUGUCAGGAGGAAAAAAACUCCUCCAAAGACACCAACAAAAACACAGAUGAUGAAGCUGUACUGCAGGCUGCAGAAACUCCAGUGGAAUGACUGAUCUUUCUUGGCUUGAAUAGCAUUGGAGAUCUAGGGAGUGAAAAAUGCUGUCAUCAAUCUGAGAUAAAACCAUACUUCUCUCAUGAUUUAAGCAGACUCUUCGCAUUGUGGUCCUUGAAAAGAAUAAAGCUGAGCAGCUCAUCUCCAGAUAGCCUGCAAAGGACAGAUGUUUGGCA